rnacentral:rRNA from 1 species
ACUCAAAUGAAUUGACGGGGGCCCGCACAAGCAGCGGAGCAUGUUGUUUAAUUCGAUGCAACGCGAAGAACCUUACCAGGUCUUGACAUUGAUGUAAACCGCCAGAGAUGGCGGGUGCCUUCGGGCGACAGAAAACAGGUGGUGCAUGGUUGUCGUCAGCUCGUGUCGUGAGAUGUUGGGUUAAGUCCCGCAACGAGCGCAACCCUUAUGAUCAGUUACUAACGGGCAAAGCCGAGGACUCUGAUGAGACUGCCGGGGACAACUCGGAGGAAGGUGGGGACGACGUCAAAUCAUCAUGCCCCUUAUGACCUGGGCUACAAACGUGCUACAAUGGCGGCUACAAAGAGGAGCGAGCUUGUAAAAGUAAGCGGAUCUCAAAAAAGUCGUCCCAGUUCGGAUUGUGGGCUGCAACCCGCCCACAUGAAGUUGGAGUUGCUAGUAAUCGCGGAUCAGCAUGCCGCGGUGAAUACGUUCCCGGGCCUUGUACACACCGCCCGU